rnacentral:tRNA from 1 species
GGGCGUGUAGCUCAGCUGGUUAGAGCGCCGCCCUGAUAAGGCGGAGGUCGGAGGUUCAAGUCCUCCCACGCCCACCA